GCCUGGGUGGCUCAGUCGGUUGAGCGUCCGACUUCGGCUCAGGUCAUGAUCUCACAGUUUGUGAGUUCGAGCCCCACGUCGGGCU
rnacentral:tRNA from 1 species